UUUCUGAGAGUUUGUGUGGCACUGGUAAA
rnacentral:piRNA from 1 species